UUUCCGUAGGUGAACCUGCGGAAGGAUCAUUAUUGUAUAACCGAGGUGCGAGGGCUGUCGCUGUCCCGAAAGGUCGUGCACGCCCGAGUGCCCUCACACACAUCCAUCUCACCCCUAUGUGCACCACCGCGUGGGUCCCCCUUUGGCUUGUUCGGAGGGGGGCUUACGUUUUCACACAAACUUUGUAUGCAGUGUAGAAUGUAUUUUUUGUUUUUGCGAUCACGCAAUCAAUACAACUUUCAACAACGGAUCUCUUGGCUCUCGCAUCGAUGAAGAACGCAAC
rnacentral:misc_RNA from 1 species